UUGAGGGGUUUGUACCUCUUUCGCCUCUCCAAGGGGGUGGUAGGCCUUGGAAAUACUAUAUUGAUGGUCACUCACCACACAUGUACUACGCCCCACUAAAUAUGAUUUAUUUUAUGUAAGCAUCAUUAUACAUAUCAUCUCAUUAAUAUGCUAUCUAUCGGGUAUGAUUAUGCACGUUGCCUAUAAAGUCCUUAUCUAAGGUAAUCUUGGGGAACACUUAAGUGUGCUUGAAGAGGAUUGUGUGGGUGGUCACUUCUUCUCGCACUCAAGUGUGUCUUAAGGUUAUAUUAGGUAGAGGUCCUAUGGUAAUGAAAUGACAUGUGUUCUUUUAAAGUUAAGCAUGGGUUGUAUAUGGAUUUAUGUUUAAGUAUAUGUAUGGUUGGCUAUGGUCUUAUAUGUUAAUGUUGACUUGUAUUAUGUCUCUUAUACUUGUAACGGAAAGGUUUUAUCAAAGGAUAUGAAAGCAUACAUUUCUUGUAAAUGUCCGUUGUGCAUAUUUUCUUGCAUGGUCUCCAUACUUAGUACUUAAUUGUGCUAACCCCUUUCUUUCGCUUUUUGACUAAAGUGUAGGGAUUUGGAGAUGGUGAUAUGUCAUGGCUACUUGAUAGGUUCUUAAGAGUUGAAGAUGAAGACUUGGUGAGUCCUCAUAGAUUCGAGGGCAAUAACCAACAUGUUCCUUUUUUUAUGUCUCUCUAGUAUUUGCUUAAGUUUUGAGUGGGCUUAGUCCCAAUGUUAUAUUCAUGUAUUAGAUGGUUUUGAGACAUAUUGUAUAAAGUCUAGAAAGUCUUUCGCUUGCUAUUUAUUGAAAGUAUCUUCGUGUGUGAA
rnacentral:lncRNA from 1 species